rnacentral:rRNA from 1 species
GUGGGUGGGUAGCGAGGAGAGAGCGAGCAGAGAGGGAGAGGGGGCGUGGUGAAGAGCGGCGGUGGUGGUGGAUGUCACGGGGCUAGGGCGGGCUAAGGCCGCAGGACGCCGCCACGGGUCGUGUGGUGGCACGGGGGGAGAGUUGCGAGAAAAGAGGGUAGACCGGUCUAGGCCGCGCGCGUAGGAGGUCGCCGGUUCGCGCUGGGACGGGUCGUCGAUCCCAAACCCGGUCGUGUAGCAGCCUCAUCGAGGCCGCAACGAGGUCACUGAGUCUGGGUCGCGCGGUAGCGACGAGCUCGUGCCCCUGCGGUACCUACCCUUCCGAAGAAGGAGGGGGACAGAGCUACGGUACUUGCUGCGUCGAGGUGGUGAUGGGGUACCUCUGCCUCGAGGAAGAGGGUGUAGUGCGUACCUCGGAGGGAGUGUCGCGGACUUCGGGAUCUCCCUUAAGUUCCGGUACCGUCCUCUCUCUCCUCGACGAGGAUCAUGUCCUGCGGUACCUUCCACGACGAGACUACUCCUCUUUGACGACGACGUCCUGCGGGAGGAGGGGAGGAGGAUGGGGGUGUGCACAAUGAGCGUGUUGGGUGAAGCGUAAAGUCUGCUAACCUCCUCUUCUGCUCCCCUCUUCCGCUGCUGCGUCCGCCUUCUCAGUUACCGCAAGCGCCGACAGCCACCAAAAGCGGCCUGGCCUCGCCGAAGCGGCCUCGCGGAUGUCUAACUUCUUACCGAGCGUCGCUAGUAGUUUUGCUACUACUACUAAAGUACCUAAGUGGUGUCGUCUUAGUCCGUUGACCUGCCUCUUUUCUCCCGCUGCUCUUUUUCUUUGCAUGAGCGUUGUCCCGGAGGAUCCUUGCUGACU